UGGGGAAUAUUGGACAAUGGGCGCAAGCCUGAUCCAGCCAUGCCGCGUGAGUGAUGAAGGCCCUAGGGUUGUAAAGCUCUUUCACCGGUGAAGAUAAUGACGGUAACCGGAGAAGAAGCCCCGGCUAACUUCGUGCCAGCAGCCGCGGUAAUACGAAGGGGGCUAGCGUUGUUCGGAUUUACUGGGCGUAAAGCGCACGUAGGCGGACUUUUAAGUCAGGGGUGAAAUCCCGGGGCUCAACCCCGGAACUGCCUUUGAUACUGGAAGUCUUGAGUAUAGUAGAGGUGAGUGGAAUUCCGAGUGUAGAGGUGAAAUUCGUAGAUAUUCGGAGGAACACCAGUGGCGAAGGCGGCUCACUGGACCAUUACUGACGCUGAGGUGCGAAAGCGUGGGGAGCAAACAGG
rnacentral:rRNA from 1 species